GAAAAGGGGGGAAAUUCAGAUCGAGCUUCCUGUUGAAACAAAAAUAGAUCCUGUAAGAAGAAAGAAAACAAAAUCUGAGCCGGGCGGAGGCUGCCGGGUACGGAGUCAACUGCAACAGCUGAAGUUCUCUCCAGCUCGCGGAUCUUUCAUAGUUUCAUGGCCUCUGAGGAGGUCGUCGUCCACAGCGGCGGCUGCCACUGCCGGCGCGUGCGGUGGCAGGUCGAGGCCGCGGCGAGCGUGGUGGCGUGGAUCUGCAACUGCUCCGACUGCUCGAUGCGCGGGAACACCCAUUUCAUCGUCCCCGCCGCCAAGUUCAAGCUGCAGGCCGGCGCCGAGGAGUUCAUCACCACCUACACCUUCGGCACGCACACGGCCAAGCACACCUUCUGCAAGGUCUGCGGCAUCACCUCCUUCUACUCCCCGAGGUCCAACCCGGACGGCGUCGCCGUCACCGUGGCCUGCGUCGACCCCGGCACCCUGAAGCAUGUCGAGUACAGGAAGUUCGAUGGGAGGAACUGGGAGGAUUUUUUCAAGCACAGCGACAUUUCCCAGUUCUCCAAGGGGAAGGCGGAGGCGGCGGUGUAGUGGGCACGCCAGUUUGUUUUCUUCCCGUCAAGGUCAGUUUGGUUAUUGUUUUGGGUGAAUGAUUAUCAUACCAUGAUUAAAUUCCUCUUCGUCUUGGGGAAUUGCAAACUUGUGUAGUGGAAAAUGUAGUGAGAAUAAAUACGCAGUUGCUAGUUGUAGCUGGAUGUGAUAUUUGUUUUGCUCUUAGGAUUUUCCAAAAAGUAUGGUUUGAAGUGAUUUGUAGUGUCCGUGCCCAAUUCAACUGCUAGCACAACAUGACAGUAUGAGACUGCCUAAAUUAGUACUGAACUGUUCCUCACAUCUUCUGAAGUUAUUUUAGUAGCAUGGUAAGAGAUUAGCCGACUUGGUUAAAAUUCAGAAAGUAAACAUGAAGCAAAUCGAGGGUUGGAGGAAUAAUUCGCGUGAAUUGCAACUUUUUCUUAGAGUGCUUGUCAUGUAACGGUAGGCAUACGACAUCUUUUAAUUUUCAUAGCAAUAUAAACGCAAACUCAAAAGUCUCGUCAGACUAAAUGUAUGAAGUAUGAUUUUAAUUUGACUAGAGAUAAGGUAGCUUAUGGGCCAUUCAACAUUGUAAGUCUGCAACAGUCAUAUAGCAAAGAAACAAUAACAGGCAAUAUAAGGAGUCUUCAAACAAGUGGUCAUUACUUUCCAAUAUAGAAGUUGAUAACAGUAGAUGAACUCAGGAGAAGCUGUAGUAUAAAUGCAUAAUCCAUAACCGAUACAAGGAGACAUACAAGACUCUGCCAAAGAUGCGAGGUUGCCCUCUGCGGUGUAAGCUUUCAGGCACGACCACCCUGCAGUUGAAGAUCAUCCAUGGCUUUGCCAGCAAGCAGUGCCCAUGGAGUGAAUUGACGAACAGCAGACGGAGACGAAGGCCAUGAGAAAUGAGGCUUGCUCAGAUGGUGAUGAGACCGCAACAUGUAACAGAUGAUCAGCAUGGGAGAGAAUUAGUCUUUUCGUAGGCUCGCACUGGAAAGGGAUCUACCUAGCAUAUUCUUUGAGCACAAACUUAUUGGAACCCUUUAGCCCCUUUAUGGUUCUCUUCUUUAUGCUUCACUAGCAAAUGGGGAUCUAGUGCAAAGCUUUCUUAGUUUGUCACUUUCUGCAGAACCUGUUGGUGGUUGAGAAAAGGAAAUGAUAUGAUUUUGUUUAAAAGAGCUAUAUGCCCAUAUCACAUUGCUGAAAAUCAGUUCUAAAAAGGAAUAUAACUAAUACAGGGGACUAUGCAGUCAGUACCUCGUGGAAAAGAUUUGUAUAAUUGUAAAAGGAGCUAUUAAGCAAAUACUUUACCAGGAAUAUAGCAUUUGCAUGCUCAAUAACAAAAGUGAUAAUAUAGUAGGUUGAAGUUGUGCACUAAUUUGUUGCAAUCAUUUUCAUUGAUUUCCAAGAGGGACUCGCAUGACAAGAUAGUUUCAGAAAUUGGGUACAUGAAUUCCAUAGGAAUACGAUGCUGAAAAUUAGUGUGAAAAUUACAGUAAGCCAUACAAACGGUUGAGACAUCCUUUUGUGAACCUGGUCAUUUUUAGUUUUUCUUGUCAGCGCAUCAUCUCGAUUCUAAAGAAUAGCACAUCUGGAUUUCUGAUACUAUCGAACUUCCUUGUCUAUGACCAAAAAGGGUACAACCUAUAUGGACCACACAAUGUAUCAAAAAGCGGAACAUGCACUCCUGUCAAGUGGCAUUGCACAGUGCAUUCCACAAUAUGAAGUAUGAACGCUGCAGUCUGCAGUGCAGGACUGCAGGAGCCGAUGAUCUGAUGCCUUGAACCCUCUUGUGACAAAGCGUCAGUGGCAUUGCGCAUCAGUGUUCCGAUUGGUGGACAAUAAUGCAGACGCACCUUUUCUAGAACCGGCCACCGGUGAUUUAUUUGGCCAUGAACGCACCGGUGAAGCAACAGCGCUCGCGGCUAGUUCCUGAAUGGAUAAGUUUGUCAUGCUGCUGCAGGGAGGAUCUGAUCUUUGGUGUGGCAUGUGGAUCCAGAUACAGUACAGGGAGUGGUUGUCUUGGUGCGAGCAGUUGAUUUGUUGCUGCAAAUUGCAGCGAUACUGCUGUGUGCAAGCAAACGCUGUUGAAAGUGCCAGGUCAGACCACUGACUUUUGAGAAGGGUUUUCUGCAGUGGGUAGCCUAACCUACCAAUUUCCACUUUUGUGCUGUGGCAGUGAUUCAUUACAGUGAAGAACUUUAUCACGCUGCUGGCCAGCGGGAGACCCAUGGACUUUUGGGCAAAUUGGGCCUGGUUCUUGAGAGCUGGAGGCUGGAGCUGUCCCACAGUAUAGCAACCAAUUUUGCUUCAGAUUCGAUUGGUGCCAAAAUUUGGGACAGCCGACCAAAAUUUUCACCUAAGGCUCCGGCAAUUGUUAUGCCCAAGUUUCGAUGAUGACCGAAAAAUUGCGCCUAAUCUGUGGCAUAAGAGCUGCACCUAGUCCUUGCAUCUGUCUGGCUUGUAAACAAGGUAAGGGCACGCAAUGUAUCAGGCCCUAUUCGAAGAGAAUUGCUUCGGGCACGUUCUUUUCCUUCAGACAUCAAACAAUUUCUUGCCCACGUUUGCAGUUGGUCGCCGUGUCCGUGUCAAUUGGUUGGAGAGGCUUGGAGCGCAGGCGAGAGACAUUCCUUGGCCGUAGGGUUGAAAAUGGGACGGGAAAAUCCCGUCCCGACCGGCUCCGUUUACCGUUUAAACCGACCGUAAACCGUUUCCGCGAAAAAAAUGGGAAAAUAGGAAAACAAAACAGGAAAACGGGCGGGAACGGGAACGGUUAGGGUGUUUUCCCGACCGUUUUCACGGUUCCCGUUUUCAGGCGGGAAAAUUCCCGCGGGAAUUCCCGUAUUUGUCGUAGUCGGCUGUGUUACUUGUGUUGGAAACGUGAAUUGUUGUUUGCAUGUGUUCCAACGUGAAUUGUGAAUUCGUGAUUCACUUUACCUGUGUUUCUUAGUUAUACGAGUCUUGUUUCCAUGUUAUUUAUGCAUAGUUGUAAUUAUUUUA